GCGAAGGUGGCGGAAUUGGUAGACGCGCUAGCUUCAGGUGUUAGUGUACCUUACGGAACGUGGGGGUUCAAGUCCCCCCCCCUCGCACCA
rnacentral:tRNA from 1 species